GACAGACCAGGAACAUGCCAGAGAGAGAUGGUUGAACAGUGUUUUAUUGAGGUGAGCAUGACAGACCAGGAACAUGCCAGAGAGAUGGUUGAACAGUGUUUUAUUGAGGCGAGCAUGACAGACUGGGAAUAUACACAAGCUCUCGAUCAAACCUUACAAUUCUCACAAUGUUAAAGACCUUGUUACUUAAAUGCAUCUAAAAACAAUCAAAUGCAAAGCUUUCAUUAACAAGCAAAUAACAGAAGACAAUAUUAAUGCGUCACCUUGGUGAGUUCAGAGUAAGAUAACAGUGGCAUUAUGAUGUACAACGAAAUGCUUAGAGUUCAAAAAACAGACAGCGUGUGAAGCAUGUUAAGAAACAUCUGUUAAC